AGGGCUCCAAGGAACAUUCAGGUGCCAGUGUCUAAGGUGUCCUGUUCCAAAUGCCUGGAGCGGCGCCCUGGAGUCUGCAGUCGUCCUCCACCCGCAGCCCCUCCGACCCCAGGACAGCAGGGCCUCGAAGACCACCCCCACCAGGUCACCUGACCUACCCAGGGCAGUCACCUCCAGGGAACCAAUGCCCUCGACCCAUCAGGACCCAUCCUGAGGUGGCAGCAACCGGACCCCGGCUUGACCAGGAUCCCCUACGCUGCCAGCUGUGCAAACCCCACCCUUCCCCGGCCAGCCCCUUUUCAGCACAACCCCAAAGCUCCUGCACCCCGAAGCCAGGCCCGGAGCUGCUCCAUCGGUCCCCGACCCAGCUCAGCCUCUGAGGUGACCUCUGUGAGUACUACAUGAGCAGAUUCCCAGGAAGCCAAGAGGCCUGUGGGCUCAGGUCGCCCCUCCUGACAUCCAGAAGCAGACCCAGCAUGGCCAGUCACCACCUGUCCUUCAGUCCGCAGCAAGGGCCUAGUCCGGGCCAGGGGGAGGCGGGCCUGGCAGCCAGUCCUGCUGUUGGGGCCACAGCCAUGGCCCAGGCUGGCUCGACCACCUGCCCUGAGUGCUGGGUCACAACCUUGACACCUGCUCCAGGACCUGUGUCGCAGGGCUCUGGUUUCUGUCUCCACACUGGCUAGUGCUGGGACACAGCAUGUGUCUUCCCCAGGGGCAGUGGCUAAACUCUCCAGGGGCAGCCUGGGUGUUUAGAAUCUCAUCAGGCAUUAACAGCAGUGCUGAGAUGUUUGAUGCAGAGCUCAGCAGGGGCCAUGUUAUGCCUUGUUUGAAGUUGGUGAGCCUUUUGGAGUUUCCAGUUAAGCUAAUGGGAGGCAUUGCUGUCCUAAGCCAGAGAGGUGCCUGUAGGUGCUGUGACCACCUGGAGCCGCUGUCUCUGUAAUGGCUUCCUUACCGCUGGCCAGGGAGGCGGCAGACGGAUGGGGAAGCCAGGCUCUCCCCAGCCCUGCUCACAGGCUCGCAUCCUGCUAGUGUGUGGUUUGUGCGACCCCCUCCGACACACUGGACCCGCCCCAUUUCCCAGGUACUUCGUGUCCCCAAACCUGAGGGUGCACAGUCAGCCUCACACCUUCAAAUUCUGGACCCUCAGAUCCAGGAUGAAAAUUCUGCAGAGCCAAAGCCAGCUGUCACCGGCAGUGUGGCUCUGGCUUCCCCAGUCACAGGAAGCUGGAGAAGGCGCCUUUUGCCACUGUGGGCCCUGGGGCCCUGAAGGAAGAGGCCUUCUGUGGAGCCCCAUCCAGUCCCCAGGAGUCUUGUCCUCCUAACAGCACCCGUCAAAGAGCAGGCAGUAAGCGCUAUGUCCUUCACUUCCCUGUGCUGUGUCCCAAGUUCAAAGCCCAAGGUGACCUAUCCCAGGCUGCCGGUGAGCCCUUCUGCCAUCUAGUGGUGGAAGGAAGAACUCCCUUUUCGCUGGCCCGGCGGGGCCUCUGGGGUUGGUUACCUCAGCCAUCUCUGUCCUCAGGGUCUUGGAAGGUGGUGACCCUGGUCCUCACUCUCGGGCCUUGAGGAACAGUGCCGGGUAAGCCCUGUGCCUGAGGCUGGGGAGCCUCUGGUCAGUGGUGCCUGUCGCACUGGUGCUGGGCUUCCUGGGCCCUGGGAAGGAUGCGGCUUUGUGGGGACCCUGGAAGUGGUGCCUGACUCUGCCAGACUCUCUGUCUGUGCCCCAGGGAAGCGACAUGCAGCUCCCAGGACUUUGUUUCCUUCAUCGGUAAAAUAGGAAUUUAAAAACCGGCACUAAACGUCUGCUCUCAAGGAUCACUGUGAGGAUGAAACGGCAGCUCCAGUAUGGCCCAGCCAGGUGUGGACAGGAGGCUUCUGGACAUGAAGAUGUGAACACACUGUGUGGUCUGCAAGCCUGGUGUGCACACGGCUGCUGGCUGACACGCCUGUCCCAGCCACAGCCCCAUGGCAUGCUUGUCUCCAGGCAUGAGUCCAAGCUGGCUCCAUCUUUCAGCACUGGACCCUAGAGAGCAUCCAGUCUUCUUCAAACCUCUGUUUCCCCAUCUGCAAAAUGGCAGUCUCAGGGCCUCCACCCUGCACCUCAAAUUCUGAGGGCCUGAUGCAUUUCUGAGUUCCCAACUUUUGGAUUUUUAGAAAAGUAAUAGAGUGUGGGUGUUACUUCAUAUGUAACACUAUGUUAUGGAUUAGCUCCAAAAUGUACCCCAAAAGUCAUAUGGGUGGAAGGUGACUGCAUCAUGGAUUCACUCACUGGUGACCUCAGGGCUGAGUGUGCUGUUAGGCGUGGGCCUGGCUGACGCUGGUCCCUGGGGUCUCUCUGCUUCCUGGGUGCAGCUGUCCUCUGCUGGGCCUUCCACCAAACCUUUCUGCUGUGGAGCUGGUAGACCAUGGACAGAACCCACUGAGACUGUGAGCUAAGUAAACCUGUCCUCCCCUAGGCUGUGGGUGCUGGUAUUGUAUUCCAGCAAUGGAACGUGACCGAGACACACCACUAGUCCUGCGUCAAACUUACCAACAUUUCUCCAGCAAAUCUAUGAAUGUCCAAAUUAAGCAGAUUACGUAAAACCACGAGUAAAUUCAUGCUAGCUGAGGUCAGGUUUUGCCACCAAAUGAAGUAAUUGUUUUAAGUUGCUGUGUUCAGAACAUUGUGCGUGAAGAACUAGAGAUGUGAGUAGCCGUCCAGUGCCACCUCCCUCAUGGGAAGACAGGAGUCCUGUGCCUGUGGAGGGUGCUGCAGGGACAUGGCUUUACAACACUGGCUGCCAUGCACAGCUUUUCAUGGUGGCUCUGAGCCAGGAGCCAUUUUCCUUAUGAUUGGUGUAUGUUUGUGGUACAUAAAAGUUCCGUAUAUGUGCCCCUCUCUCUUCCCUGGGUCCCUGUCCCCUUCUCCACAAAGUCUGCCUCCCCGUUUCCUACCAUCUCUUUUAUUUUGCUCUUUAGAUUAUUUAUAUUUUGGGUUUCUCAGAGAUGAGAAACUGAUAUUUAACCCCUGUCUGAUUUCUUUCACUUAGCAUGAUGGUCUCAAGAUGCACCCAUUCUGUUAAUGACUCACAUCUGUCCUGCUUCUCAGCUGAGUUGUACUCCAUCGUGUGUGCAGCAUACACCACUUUUUUUUGGUACUGGGAAUUGAACUCAGUUCCUUGCACUUGCACAGCAGGCAGCAGAACCACUGAGCUAAAUCCCCGGCCCUACGCCACAUUUUAAUGCCCAUAGUGAAGAGGGGAACAGAGGCCCAGGGCAGUUGAGUAGCUGCUCAUUGUACAUAGCUCUAAAUGACCAGCUGGCCCUCAAUGUCCUAGCCUGGCAGCAUCCACCCAUUAUGUGCUUGUCACUAAGCUGGGAAGGAGAAGUGGCAACUCAGGCCUCUGACUCCUUUCUUUGUUUGCUUGCGGUCACACUCUGGGCAGGUGCUCACCACUGAAAUGGACUCCAGCCAGGCCUGGACUUUGACUCUGCCCUCUCAGCUCACCAGGCCUCUACUGGAGGGAGAUGUGAAAGAGAAAGUUAAAAGCGAGCACGUCUUUCUGGAAGUCUGGCUGGGCCUGCACUCAAUCUCCCAGCCCCGCUGUCCGCACUGCAGUGCUUGCUCUCCUCGGGCAGCGGCCUGACUGCCUGGCUGCUCCUGCUCUGUCCAGGCAGCCCAGCUGGUCAGAGAUCCCUGCAGGGCCCCGGCCCUCAGAGAGGUCACCCAGUCCCCCUUCCCAGCGGCCAGGUUGCCUGGCCAGUGUGGAUGUGGGGAGGAGCAGAGGUCUCCUGGAUGCUGUGGCUGCACAGACAUCUCCAGACUGCCAAGUUCUGCCUGCCUCCCGUGCAGCCAGCACCCGGCCAGCUGGAACUUUGUCAAGCAGCAAUGGAGGUCCGUUGGGCUUCGCCACAGUUCUGCAUGACCUAAAAUCCCUCCACACUUGGAUUUCAUGAUGUUUUAUGGAAUGUGCAGUGACCUUGUUUUCCACGUUUCGAACCAGAAAAUCUUUGGACUCAUGGGAACAUGGGUUUGGAGCCAGACAGACAGCCUGACAACAGGGCUGUGGAAGAACUCAAGGCCGGUGCUGGUCCAGGGAGGUAACCCCACUGCUUGGUCCUUGGCAGAAGGGCUGCAGGCAUCCCUAGGGUUAGGAAGAGCCAUGCUCCAGUCCCCAUCUGCCCAGUAUACGAUGCAGGCCUGAGAAAAAAGACGCUAAGAGACAGAACUAGAAGGGAAAGUGGGGGCCAGGAUGGCCAAUGCCGGUACAGCUGACAAAGAUGCUGGCCAGUCCCAGGCACUGAGUUUUACUGGCAAUCAGUUGAGUUAAAGGCGAGCUACAAAUAGUCUCUAUGGAAAUUAAUGUAAAAAAGGCUCAUAAAGGACAAGACAAACCAUUCUCGAAUUUAGGAACAUAAUAGACAAAAUAUAUGGUUGCAAUUAGAACAUUGUCCUUCUAGUCAGAAGGGUUUAGUUGUGGGAACGGAAUUUGGGUGUGAGUUACUCUGACCUCAGCACGUAGGCUUCAGCCAGACUCACUUCUAUAAACAAGCCAGCUGUGGGGUUAACUCUUCACAGCCUGCUUUGGGAAUAAUCAAUUUUAUGGUCCUCUGCACUCCAGGAGUGUUAGUUGUGCACAGGCUUAUCUUCUCACUGCUCUGAUAUGCACAUGAAGAUAGGUUUCAAGGCAAAAAGCUUUCCAUGAGGCUUAGCUGAAUAUUUUGAAGAGCAAAUCAAGACUCAGUCAGGUGUGUGAUGAUACAUGGAUAGGGCUACCAGCAGGGAAACUGACAGCCAGGAAGGCAGGAGCUCCCAUCAACGAAGCUCUCUAGAAUCCACAAGCUAAUGAAGUCAAGGCCAAUUGUCAGUUAGUCAGCAGGCAUAUCACCGCCAGCAUCCAGGGCAGUGGGUGCAACCACAGGUGACUGCUAAUGGGCAAAUUAGGGAACUUCACGGGCAGCAGUUCACAGAACUAGAUGGCAGGGAGACAGGGCUGCUGGAUCAAGGAGGUCCUGGGCACAGGGGUCCACAUGUGGGAUUUCUGGUGCAACUGAGAAACCCAAGGAGCCGGCUUCCUCUAGCUGCCAACUGCAGCAGCACGGUGCGUUCAUGAGCACACGGGCAUUCUUGUUUGCAGUGGCAUCACUGGUUGCUCUUGCCCUGUUUUCCUCACGCACCAGAGGAAGCACAGGGCCGAGGCUGGGCCAGAUGGUGCCACUUGUACAGGCUGGAGUUCCUCGUAGGACCACCUGCUUACCUUCAUGCUGCCCGACCCCACUGCAGCCCUGGGAACCCUCUGCUCCAUGAACUGACUUGACUCCACUCGGUAACUGAUCACUGGGCCCAAGUUCAUUGAUUUGUUAAACUAAAGGGUUUUUGUGGUGGUAUAUUUGAUUUCUAACCUUUUCCUUUGAAGAUUAGUGUGUAUAUGUGCAGGGGGAGAUUAAGAGACAAGUGCAUUUGCAUAUCUACACAUACAGCCAGUGUUCUGUGUCCCAGAUCCACAUCUGUGACUGAACCUGCUGUCUCCCUGCACUGUGCAGUUAGGGCCAUGAUGGCUGCACCUGUACAGGACAUGUCCAUACUUUCCUUCCUGCCAUUCCCCAAACAAUGCAGCAUAUCAGCUAUUUAGGUGGCGCUUACACUGCUGUAGGCAUCACAAGUCAUCUAGGGAUGAUUUAUACUGGGGUUGUACAAUAUUUUAUGGAAGGUACUAGAGCAUCCUCAGAUUUGGGCACCCAUAGGGGGCCCAGGGGCCCAUAUCUGUGGAUACUGAGGCAGGACCAUGCUUCAGUGAGGAGCCCAUGUUAGUGCACAGAGGAGAGGAGCAGCAGAAAGCACCGGGCAUCGAGGGGCCCUGCACCCACAGUGACUUUCUGUGUCCCUUCACCAGGGUCCCCUUUCCUCUUUGAGUUUUGAAUCCCUCCACUGGAGGGUAGAGAAGAUGAUUUCACCCUGCUCUGGGCUCCGCUCAGCUCUGAUCUCCUGCUCUGGGCUGGGACACCUGUGUUGUCACCUGCCUCCUCUGCUCACCCUGCAGGAAAUACACUCGAGAAGGACACUUGGCAUGAGAAUGUGCCUGAGGGAGGCAGUCUUGCUCUUCCUGACACUGCUUUCCUGGGAGGCCAAAGUCCACUGGAUUGGCAAAGACCCCUAAACACUGUCCUGAGAAAUGCCAGGGCAACCCUGUGCCCUACACUUCUUCCAUGAAGGACCAGUCCCAGCUGCAGAAGGGCCAGGGCAAGGUGGUCAAGAAGACUGUCCAGGGCAUUCAUCAGAGGUCACCUUGACCACUCAAUGUGCAGCUCCUCAGGGCAGAGAGGGCACAGCUGUGGCAGCUAAAGCAGAGGGCACAUUAUACUCGGGCCCCUUCCGCCUCUGCUUCCCAUACCCUGCCCAUACCUGGCUUUGUUUCCUAGUCUCCCUCCAUGCGCCCACCCUCCUCUUGAGCAGAAUUCCAGCAUUUUCCAGUGCUCUUGUUCCUUCAGUGAGACUGGCAGCAUCACUCAGACAAAUCUGCCUGCUCAGUCUCUUUGGCCAGGGUUGAGUUGCUCCCGCUGGCCACUCCAUGUGCCUUAUACAUUUCCUCUCUUCACAGAACCAGGAGCUUCUGGAAAGCCUGAACUCAGGGAUGCUGUGAGACUUCUCAGGGCACAUUCUUUUCCUUAAAUUCCUUUAUUGGUACAUUUUAGGUAAACAAUACAGUUACAUUCAUCAUUGGGAUCUUGCACCUAUACAUGAUGCAUCUCGGUUCUUAUUUUUCCCCUCUCCCCUGCCCUCCCUUCACCCCCUCCACCCUUCUCUAUUUACAGAGACUUUGUUUCCAUUUUUUCCUUUUCUCAUAUUUUUUCCUUUCCCUUUUUUUCCUUUCCCCUACCCCUCCCACUUCCCCUACUCCUUUAGACCUUUUCUUCCUAUUGCACAUUAUCAAUUAUUCAUUUUAAUCCUUAUUUACACUUUCAGUUUCUCACACCAGAGAAACUAUUUGGUAUUUACACAUGUGUGUCCUAUUUAUUUCACUUAAUAGUAUCACCUCAAUGUGGAUCCAUUUAGCUAUAAAUGUCUCUAGUUUGUCAUUCUUUAUGGCUGAGUAGUACUCCAUUUUAUUUUUUAAAAACCCCACAUCUUCUUUAUCCAGUCUCUAGUUGAUGGGCACAUGGGCUAUUUCGAAGCUUUAGCUAUUACAAACUGCUGCUAUAAACAUGGGUAUGCAUAUAUUGCUGUGGUAUGAUUCUUUUAAUUCUUUUGGGAAAAUACCCAGCAGAGGAAUAGCUGGGUCAAAUGGGACCUCUAGCCCUAGUUCUUUGAGGUAUCUCCAUACUGAUUUCCAUAGUGGCUGCACCAGUCUGCACUCCCACCAGCAAUGGAGAAGGGUUCCUUUCUCUCCACACCCCGCCAGCAUUUGUUAUUGGUUGAUUUCUUGAUAGCAGCCAUUCUUUGUGGGGUGAGGUGGAAUCUCAGCAUUGUUUUCAUCUGCAUCUCUCGAAUGACCAGUGAUGUUGAACAUUUUUUCAUAUGUUUCUUUGCUGCUUUUACUUCUUUGAGAAAUGUCUGUUUAUUUCAGACAUUAUUUCUGUUUUAUUUCAUUUUUUGGAUUGGGUCUUUAUAUCUGGGGGGUCUGAUUUUUUUUUAGUUCUUUAUGUAUUCUAGAUAGUAGUCCUUUGUUUGAGGUACAGCUGCUAAAAUUUUUUCCCCACAUUGUAGGUUGUCUCUUAGCUCUGUUGGUGGUUUCUUUUGCAGUGCAGAAGAUUUUAAUAAGAUGAGAUCCCAGUUGUCGAUUCUUUGUGCUAGCUCCCAUGCUACUGAGGUUUUGUUCAUAAAGUCUUUUCCUAUGCCAAUGUCUUUGAGAGUUCUACCUAACUUAUCUUCCAGCAAGUUUAGUGUUUCUGUUUUAAUAUUUAGAUCUUUAAUCCACUUCGAUCUUAGUUUAGUGCAUGGUGAUAGGUAUGGGUCUAGUAUGUAUGAUAGGUAUGUCACUCUUUUUGUUUUAUAUAAUAGAAAAUGAAUGUCUAUUUGGCAAAAAAUUUUCCCAAUGAUUAUUAAGCUUUUUUGUUCUUUUUUGUUGUUGUUGCUUUUUAGGCAGGGUCUCUCUUUGUAGUUCAGGCUGGCCUUGAACUCACUGUGCAGCCCAGGCUGUCUCAAACUUGUGGCAAUCCUCCUGCCUCAGCCUCCCGAGUGCUGGGACUACAGGAGUGCACCACCACACCCAGCUUUAAGCUUUUUUUUAUUCUUAAAAUCAGCCUGGGGCCAGGGAUUUAGCUCAGUGGUUCCCUGCCUGCCUUGCAAGCGGAAGGACCCGAGUUCGAUUCCCGGCACAAAAAAAAAAAAAAAAAAAAAAAAAAGCAGCCUGAACCUGUGUUACCUAAGAUAAAGAACAACUUUCUACCUCCAUGUGAUGAGAUCAGGGAUGAGGUUAAAGGUGCAGAUGGCCUGGUGUCUCUGUAACUCAUGUGACCCUGUGAAGGGGGUGGGAGGCUGUGUCUUGCACCAAGCAGUUCCCUUCCUGGAUUUGUCGUUUGCUUCCUUGUUAAAUUCUGCACAGUGUGAACGUGUUGCUUUCUCUAUUUGACCCUUUAGCCUGGGAGGGUCCCAGCCUGUGGGUAACAGUGCUGAGGUGGGAUGGGAGAAACGAAGACAGGUGGAGAACGGGCAAAGAGAGGUGAAACUUUAAAAUUGUGUUGCUAGAAAAACUCAGCUUCAGGACACAAGUCACUCGGCACACUCAAAAAUACUUCUUCUUUCCCCUAAGGGUUGUAGGGAAGGUUGAGGGACAGGCAGGGAAAGUUAAAGGGCUUCAGCGAGGUUUCUGGCAAAUAAAGAGUUAAAGCCCUGCUAGAGACAGUAGCUAAGAAAAACAAACAGAGCUGAUGAGGCUCCUGGCUCACUUAAGGGCAAGGCUCAAUUCCUGCACCUCUGUAUAAGUACAUACAUAUUUUGUUAUUUUCUCACCAUAUUAAUACACUAAAAUGCACAGGUAUCCUUUUUACUAACUCAGCCUUAAAUGUAAUUGUGCUGCAAGUCUCACAAGAUAAACACCCGGACAACACAAAGGGACCGCAGAAGUGCUUGUUCCAGAAUGUAUACAUGGGCAACAGCGAGGGCCAUGGCCGAGUCAGAGGUCUCAGAGCCCAGAACAGCCAGUGAAGUUACGACAGCUCUCAAGGGACACGGUCCGUUUCUUGCCAUGUAAUCAGAGGCUACGAACAAAGACCCCUUGAGUUCUGGCUCUGGGCUCCCUAACUUACUCCAACAAAGUAGCUAUCUAUCGCUUUAUUUCUCUCCCUCUCUCCAAUCAAGUAAUUUUGUUUCCCCUUUUCCCUUCCUUUCCUAAUAAAGUGAUUUUGUCUCUCCUUCAGAACAUAUAUCUCUAAUUCUUUUUUUGUGUGUAUGUUGUUUUACAAACCCUAGGUAAAAAUCUACCCUCAGGAGCUGUAACAGGGUGAGGGCCUAAGGCACCUGGGCUCAACUUUUCUCCCAUGAAUUAUACUUCCUGCCACAGAAAUCUGGAAGCUGCGAUACACACAGACGUCAGCCUUCUAACUUAGCCUGGCCGGCACGGAAAUGAAGUCCUAGGUCCCCCACCUUGAGGACACCCGACUCCAUGGGAACUCCACCCCAGACCAAGAUGCAUCUCUGUCCCAAGGCUUGUCCUCCAUUCUCUGAGAGGGGACUGUUUUAAUUUUGCCUAAUAAACCUCUUCACUCCUCUUGCUGAUGAAUCUUGAAAAUACUUUUUCUGCGAUGGAAGUCAGCGAACUUUCAACCUGUUGCAUGGGUGUGGUGAGUCCCAAUUCCCAUCUUCAGUUUGGGGACUUGGACCCUGUCCAGUGACACCUGGUGCUAGCUGUUUACUGAGCUUGGGUUUUAUUUUGUGGAAUGGCUGGAGGAUGCAGGCAUGUGUCCCCUCCAAUACUUACUGGCUGUCUUCCUAGUGGGUUUUGGUUCCUCAGCCAUGAAAAAGUGUAGCCUGAAUAAAAUCCAGCACUGCUGUGGUCCAGGACCACAGGGCCAUGCACAAGGACAGCAGCCUGGGGGAAAUUCCAUGCAUCAGCCUGUAGCCUGUUGGUUGGACACACCUGUGUCAAAGUAAAAAUGCCUUAAAAAAGGAAGCUUGUUGCUUAUACACAUUAACUAUAUUAUGUAUUUUAUACGAAGCACAAGGCAAUUCCUUGUCCCCUCCUGUGGCCCAGGCAGGCCAGGCCUAUCCCACCACAAGCUGCUCCAUUCUGACAAGACUGGACGACAGUUGCAUGUAGAUACCUGAGGUUCCCGACUGAAAAUCCACUGAUUCGUACAGGGAACACUCUUAAGUUAUCUUGUUACUGAAAAAUAUCACAAUAGUUGCAGCAUCAUCCAGAUUGAAAGAGAAAUACCUCUUGCACAGUUUCUCUCCUUCUCAACCCUAAAGAUUCUGAGAUUUGAGUCUUAUAAAGGCUGCUAAUUCAUAUAAGCGAGAAGAAAAGCACAAAGCUGCUUCUUGCUUGCAGAAUGCUGCUGAUCGAGGGGACCUGUCUCUGGGCCGACGAACCUGCCCUCACCAGCAUGGCGCAGUCGCAGCUGAAGAGAAGAAGUGGCGCCACGGGCAUCCACACACUCGCAGAGUGCACACCGUGGGCCAAGCCGAGAGAUCGCGAAGUCCCCAAAGACCACCAGGAAGCCGUUUCCGAUGCAAGCACACGAGGGUCGUUUAUUCAAGAUCGAGCAGGGGCUCCCAACCAUCACCGACGCAGCGGAUCAGAAUUGAGAGCCCCGAAUUUCAAAUUAGCGGGGGUUUUUACUAAAGUUACAGCAAGGUUAGGGGAUUUUCCAUUUAGCAAUCACGUGAUUGGUUGGCAUUUAGCAAGCAUGAAGUGUAUACUUCUGAUUGGCUAGGCCCAUUGGGGGUUGAGGGGUGAUUACGUAUAGGUUUUAGGAGGGAAAAGAGGGACAAAGGUUAGUGGCUGACUGUCAAGUACUGGCAGUCAGUAGACACAGUGGCUAAUGGCCACGACCAUUAUGUACUGAUGGUCGGCACAUUGACAGACUGUUUUACAAAUAGGGGGCCCAGACCGUUUAUUUCCUGGGCAAACAGAUGGUUGAGCAAUUAACUUAAGAACUUUGUUUUGUUACAGAGUGUGUCUUUUGUCCCAGAGCAGGCACAUUUCAACCAUUAAUAAUAGAGGCUAGGGGAAUAGUGGCUUUUAGCAAACUGGAGUCGCUUUGAUCUCACACUCUCUACUCACCGCAGAGCCUAGCUAAGGGUCGCUGACAUGGAG
rnacentral:lncRNA from 1 species